AGGACGAACGCUGGCGGCGUGCUUAACACAUGCAAGUCGAGCGGAAAGGCCCUUCGGGGUACUCGAGCGGCGAACGGGUGAGUAACACGUGAGUAACCUGCCCCUAGCUCUGGGAUAGCUCCGGGAAACCGGGAUUAAUACCAGAUACGACCACUUUAGACAUCUGUCGUGGUGGAAAGGAUUCCGGCUAGGGAUGGGCUCGCGGCCUAUCAGCUUGUUGGUGGGGUAACGCCUACCAAGGCGACGACGGGUAGCCGGCCUGAGAGGGCGACCGGCCACACUGGGACUGAGACACGGCCCAGACUCCUACGGGAGGCAGCAGUGGGAUAUUGCGCAAUGGGCGAAAGCCUGACGCAGCGACGCCGCGUGGGGGAUGGAAGGCCUUCGGGUUGUAAACCCCUUUCAGCAGGGACGAAGCGAAAGUGACGGUACCUGCAGAAGAAGCGCCGGCUAACUACGCGCCAGCAGCCGC
rnacentral:rRNA from 1 species